rnacentral:rRNA from 1 species
AUGGUGCUGCAGAACGACAUCGACCUCCUCAACCCGCCGGCGGAGCUCGAGAAGCUCAAGCACAAGAAGAAGCGCCUCGUCCAGUCCCCCAACUCGUUCUUCAUGGACGUCAAGUGCCAGGGCUGCUUCAACACUACUGUGUUCAGCCACUCCCAGACUGUCGUGGUGUGCCCGGGCUGCCAAACAGUGCUCUGCCAGCCAACGGGUGGCAAGGCCAGGCUAACCGAGGGUUGCUCCUUCCGCCGCAAGGGCGACUAA